rnacentral:lncRNA from 12 species
GCUGAGAGGGCCUGCAGGGGUUCUAGACCCACAGUUGGAAGGGCCUGCAUGAGACCCGGGAGGAGGGGCUGGGCAGGAUGGCCUGGAAGGUUCUGGACCCACAGUUAGAAGGGCCUAUAGGAGACCAGGGAGGAGGGGCUCAGCUGGGAUAGCCUGGAAGGUUCUGGACUCCCAGUUGGAAUGGCCUGUAGGAGACCGAGGAGGAGGGGCUGGGCGGGAUGGCCUGGAAGGGUCUAGAACCACAGUUGGAAGGACCUGCAGGAGACCAGGGAGGAGGGGCUCAGCUGGGAUGGACUGGAAGGUUCUGGACCCACAGUUGGAAAGAUUUAUAGGAAACCAGGGAGGAGGGGCUUGGCCUGGAUGGCCUGGAAGGUUCUGGACCUGCAGUUGGAAGGGCCUGUAGGAUAGGCUGGGCGGGAUGGCCUGGAAGGUUCUGAAACCCAGUUCGAAGGGCCUGCAGGGACCAGGUAGGAGGGGCUGGGCCAGAAUGGCCCGGAAGGUUCCGGACCUGCAGUUGGAAGGGCCUCCAAGAGAGCAGGGAGGAGGAGCUGGACCAGGAUGGCCUGAAGGCCAGGAGCCGGAUGAAGGGCACCGGACGCCGAGCCACAGAGGAGGCCGCGGCCACGGGGGACGUGUGCGACCGGGGCCCGCGUCCACUCAGCCGUCUGGGGGCAGGACCGGCGGCCAGACGUCGGGACAGGAAAAUCCCCGACCUUCACAGGGAGGUUUACUGGAAAAUCUGGCAGCCGUAGGUUCAGAAGGGACCUCACCGCGUCAGGCCCUCGGCGGAGUUACAGCUGACAUUCGUGCGACUCAGGUUUCCAACAACAGCUCCGAGCACCUCCGAGGAGCACCUCCGAGGUCGUACCCCUGCUCUGCUCCCUGUGGCUCCCUGAACCAAGUCCAACUUCCCACAAGAUUUUGA